GGGAUUUGCAUGGUGUUCUUUGCACUAGUACUGCUCUUUUGUAACAAAAAAUCGACAGGCCAGACUGACUUAAUCGAGAGUUGGAUAAAUGUCACUUUUUCACGUACCUAUAUAGGGUAACUGCUAAGGUAUUUGGGAGACAUUCUAAUUGUAGUGAGGGCCUUUUCCAAGACACAGUUAGAUUAUUCUAACUAAGGAAAGUGCGGUGAAAUUAAUAGCAUUAUUGUAGGUUUUAGAGAAGUCAAAAAUGUAAAAAGUUUAGAAAAGGACGGACGACGGACAAAGGUGAUCAGAAAAGCUAACUAGAACCUUCG